ensembl:lncRNA
AUCAGGGACAAUAUCCCAUGAAUAAUAGUUGAGGAGAUGGAAUCAGGGACAAUAUUCUGUGAAUAAUAGGUGAGGAGAGGGAAUCUGGGACAAUAUUCUGUGAAAAAUAGGUGAGGAGAUGGAAUCAGGGACAAUAUUCUGUGAAUAAUAGGUGAGGAGAUGGAAUCAGGGACAAUAUUCUGUGAAAAAUAGGUGAGGAGAUGGAAUCAGGGACAAUAUUCUGUGAAAGAAAGGUGAGGAGAUGGAAUCAGGAAUAAUAUUCUGCGAACACUAGGUGAGGAGAUGGAAUCAGGGACAAUGUUCUGUGAAUAAUAGGUGGAAAUGGAAUCAGGGACAAUGUUCUGUGAAAAAUAGGUGAGGAGAUGGAAUCAGGGAGAAUUUGCCAUGAAUAAUCAGACUUCUAUCAUUAGCAUUCCCAGUUACAGGGAGGCUUUGCAACUGACCAAGACAUAGUAACUAACACACCAAGACAUAGUAACCAAGACAUAGUAACUAACACACCCAGACAUAGUAACUAACACACCAAGACAUAGCAACCAAGACGUAGUAACUAACACACCAAGACGUAGUAACCAAGACAUAGCAACCAAGACGUAGUAACCAACACACAAAGGCAUAGUAACCAACACACCAAGACAUGGUAACCAACACACCAAGACAUAAUAAUCAACACACCAAGACAUAGCAACCAAGACGUAGUAACCAACACACCAAGACGUAGUAACCAAGACAUGGUAACCAACACACCAAGACAUGGUAAACAACACACCAAACGUAGUAACCAACACACCAAGACGUAGUAACAAACAC